rnacentral:rRNA from 1 species
GACAGCAGCAGCCGCGGUAAUGCGGAGGGGGCUAGCGUUGUUCGGAAUUACUGGGCGUAAAGCGCACGUAGGCGGCUUGGUAAGUUAGAGGUGAAAGCCCGGAGCUCAACUCCGGAAUUGCCUUUAAGACUGCCGAGCUAGUAGGUGAGAGAGGUAAGUGGAAUUCCGAGUGUAGAGGUGAAAUUCGUAGAUAUUGGGAAGAACACCAGUGGCGAAGGCGGCUCACUGGACCGACACUGACGCUGAGGCGCGAAAGCGUGGGGAGCAAACAGGACUAGAUACCCCGGUAGUCCCUGUCUCUUAUAC